AGGGCAGACGAAGAAUGAGUGGCUUCCACCUAACACGAAGCACUUUCUAACCUAUCCUUCUCGUUACUGAAAGUUAAGCGAUGGCAGUGCCUCCCCUAGUGAGAGCAGCUGUUUCCCUGCAAGGCCGUAACGCAGUCGCUAUCGAGCACCACAUCAUGCAAAGGCAGCUCAAGACAAGCACGCAGGUGGCCUGACACACCUGGAGACGUGGUACUUGGCAGCAAUGGAAACAUAUUUCUGUAGCAAAGUCUUUAAAAAGAUGCAGCUGCAUGCAUUCAAACAGAGCAUUUUGCUGCUCCAGUCAACUGUGUGAAACACCAACCACCACCCAAGAGGCCGUGGAAAUAUCUGUGGUGCCACUCUCUUCCUUGCACGAGAGCACCUGGAGUCAGCGCAUGAAGGCUGGGAGCAAAGAGCCUCCAAAACCAGCUCACGGAAGGGAGGCUGCCCGUAACCUGCAGCAGGAAGGAGAAACAGCCCCAGAACAACGUGGGGAAAGAGCAUGGAAGAAGAAACACGGAUGAUUACAAGAUGCUGCUCUCGAGGUGAGAACUGGAGGGAUAAAAGCUUUACUCUUCAGGCACGGGAGCUUUUCCCAAUUGUAGGGGGUGCCUACCCAACUCCUGUCUGCAACAGCUACAGCAGAAAGGGUGAGGAUGAGACAUCUGUCAGGAGUUAAGCUCUGCGCUGCCAGCACGCACAAGCUGCCAAAUGAGCCUGUUUACAAUGAUUCAGACAAGACUGAAAAAAAGCACCGGGUCAGCGCUCUGCGGAACGCACCCUUACCCCAUCUCACGUGUCCAACACCAAGGAUGCAGCACAGCAGGAGUUUUCACCUUUAAAAUCACUCGUGCUCUCACUGCAUGGAGGGCACGUGCCAGAACCACAGGGUGUCAAGUAACCAGAAAAAAAAACAAAACCUGGCAGAGACGUGGCAACAGCAAGAAGCAUUAGCUCCUGUGCUCCCAACACUGAGGAAAUAAACCAUACACGGACACCCCCUGAGUUAGAGGUGGACCAAGAUGCCCUGUUAGGGCAGGCAAAUCCAAUCCUACAGCAGCACAGUGAGGAAGAGGUUUGAUGAAUACUGUUUUUGCAGGCAUCCGAGUAGGAGAGAAGCUGCAGCGGGAUCUGGCUGAACACGAGCUGGAUUUAGUUUUGAGUACAAGCCUCACAAAAGCCAUCAGAAGUUUUAUUCUUGCACAAUGGUGAAGCAUCAGCUCCUCCCAAAGACAGUAAAAUGGAGAAUGAGGGUAAGAGAAGAGAGAGAGAUGCCAGGGAGAGUCAAAGCAACAGGCUUUGCUCCUUGGUAGUGCCAGAUGCAGAGUGUUGCCUGCUUGGGGCUUCCCUGCAGUACCCACUGCUGUCAUUCCCAUGCCAUGAGCAUGGCAGCAAAGCCAGUAACAGCAAUAGGCAGGAAGCACAUCUGUGCUCUGGCACAGACACAAGCAGCCUGCUACUCUCUGAAGGCUCUUCUCUCACCAGCUAGCCUUGACAUGGUCGUGCUUUUGUUCAAGCAUCUCCACACAGAAUUGAAGAGAGAGAAAAAAAAAAAAAAA